rnacentral:rRNA from 1 species
GGGAGCUUGCUCCCGGAUGUUAGCGGCGGACGGGUGAGUAACACGUGGGUAACCUGCCUGUAAGACUGGGAUAACUCCGGGAAACCGGAGCUAAUACCGGAUAGUUCCUUGAACCGCAUGGUUCAAGGAUGAAAGACGGUUUCGGCUGUCACUUACAGAUGGACCCGCGGCGCAUUAGCUAGUUGGUGGGGUAAUGGCUCACCAAGGCGACGAUGCGUAGCCGACCUGAGAGGGUGAUCGGCCACACUGGGACUGAGACACGGCCCAGACUCCUACGGGAGGCAGCAGUGGGAAUCUUCCGCAAUGGACGAAAGUCUGACGGAGCAACGCCGCGUGAGUGAUGAAGGUUUUCGGAUCGUAAAGCUCUGUUGUUAGGGAAGAACAAGUGCGAGAGUAACUGCUCGCACCUUGACGGUACCUAACCAGAAAGCCACGGCUAACUACGUGCCAGCAGCCGCGGUAAUACGUAGGUGGCAAGCGUUGUCCGGAAUUAUUGGCGUAAAGGGCUCGCAGGCGGUUUCUUAAGUCUGAUGUGAAAGCCCCCGGCUCAACCGGGGAGGGUCAUUGGAAACUGGGAAACUUGAGUGCAGAAGAGGAGAGUGGAAUUCCACGUGUAGCGGUGAAAUGCGUAGAGAUGUGGAGGAACACCAGUGGCGAAGGCGACUCUCUGGUCUGUAACUGACGCUGAGGAGCGAAAGCGUGGGGAGCGAACAGGAUUAGAUACCCUGGUAGUCCACGCCGUAAACGAUGAGUGCUAAGUGUUAGGGGGUUUCCGCCCCUUAGUGCUGCAGCUAACGCAUUAAGCACUCCGCCUGGGGAGUACGGUCGCAAGACUGAAACUCAAAGGAAUUGACGGGGGCCCGCACAAGCGGUGGAGCAUGUGGUUUAAUUCGAAGCAACGCGAAGAACCUUACCAGGUCUUGACAUCCUCUGACAACCCUAGAGAUAGGGCUUUCCCUUCGGGGACAGAGUGACAGGUGGUGCAUGGUUGUCGUCAGCUCGUGUCGUGAGAUGUUGGGUUAAGUCCCGCAACGAGCGCAACCCUUGAUCUUAGUUGCCAGCAUUUAGUUGGGCACUCUAAGGUGACUGCCGGUGACAAACCGGAGGAAGGUGGGGAUGACGUCAAAUCAUCAUGCCCCUUAUGACCUGGGCUACACACGUGCUACAAUGGACAGAACAAAGGGCUGCGAGACCGCAAGGUUUAGCCAAUCCCAUAAAUCUGUUCUCAGUUCGGAUCGCAGUCUGCAACUCGACUGCGUGAAGCUG